GGAGAAACCCUUCUCCUUCAAUUGAGUUCAAGAAAUUCAGCCAAUUGAAGCCCUAAUCGUAGUUGUACUCAUGCAUGUCAAUGAUUUCUUGGUCAUCUAGCCCUAACAAAUACAUGAAUAGGAACCACACUAGCAUGGGCCAAGCAUGGAAGGCUAACGGGUCAAGAUGAGGCAAGGAAGCGGGUAUGAACACGGAUGCACAAGCUGAUACACGGACUUCUUCUGCUACU
rnacentral:lncRNA from 1 species